rfam:Legionella quinlivanii strain CDC#1442-ATS-E Lqui_ctg025, whole genome shotgun sequence.
GUCCCCAUCGUCUAGAGGCCCAGGACAUCGCCCUUUCACGGCGGUAACGGGGGUUCGAAUCCCCCUGGGGACG